rnacentral:rRNA from 1 species
GACGAACGCUGGCGGCGCGCUUAACACAUGCAAGUCGAGCGAGAACCGGUCCUUCGGGGCCGGGGACAGCGGCGAACGGGUGAGUAACACGUGGGUAAUCUGCCCUCGGUAUCGGGAUAGCCCGGGGAAACCCGGAUUAAUACCGAAUGGCCCUUCGAGUUCUCGAAUUCGAAGGAAAAGGUAGCUUCGGCCUCCGACCGAGGAUGAGCCCGCGGCGGAUUAGCUUGUUGGUGGGGUAACGGCCUACCAAGGCGACGAUCCGUAGCUGGUCUGAGAGGACGGUCAGCCACACUGGGACUGAGACACGGCCCAGACUCCUACGGGAGGCAGCAGUGGGGAAUCUUGCGCAAUGGGCGAAAGCCUGACGCAGCGACGCCGCGUGCGGGAAGAAGGCCUUCGGGUUGUAAACCGCUUUCAGGAGGGACGAAGCCACUCGGGUGAAUAGCCCAGAGGGUGACGGUACCUCCAGAAGAUGCUCCGGCUAACUACGUGCCAGCAGCCGCAGUAA